AUGGUGAAGAUGAAGUUCCUUUUUGAACUUCUCCGGUUAAUAUACAUGAACUUGGUCAUCUUUUUAUAUGUACUUACAUCAGCUCAUCCAGUUGUUCGUGUAAUUGUAAUACUAAUCAGUUCAGAUCUCGAGAGAGGUAAGCUCAGAGAAAAAAUACAGAAGUUCAAAGUCGAUAAAAAAGGGGAUUUUAUUUCUUUGUUGUUAUUUUUUUGCAACCAGAUGCGACAGACAGAGGCAAGAUGCAAAGUGUGCUGUUUGUUAGAUGUUCAGUACAGAUUUUUCUCUAAGAAAAAAGCAGCAGGAGGCAACAGUUUUGAAUGUGCUAGUUGUAAGUCACUUAGUUAUUAG
rnacentral:rRNA from 1 species